GGGCGUUAAAUAGAUUUACCUAUGUUCGGUUACGGUUCGAAAAGAUUCUCGCCUU
rnacentral:tRNA from 1 species